CUUUAGGUCCUGACUGCCAAUGAACCAGGCAAUGAUUCACAGGUGGAGAGAUAGUCUGGGCAGCACCAAGCCGACAACUAUUAUGAUUAUGAGUAGGGAUGAUUAUCGAGAACAGAAAUAACUGCAUAUCAUCCAAACCAUCUCCAAAUGAAUGGCUGCAAGGAUCCAGGAUCAAGAGAUAAUCCAUCAUGAAAACUUUUUCAUAGGAAUCAGCAAAUCCUGGGCCUGCCUGACCAUUGUGUUGCCCUAGAUGUGAAGACACACUGGAACUGCAUUUCUCAUGGUUGAAAGAGUUGCGCAUCGAUAUCCAGACAUACAAGAAGCCUUCCUGGACCCACACGACAAAAUGCUCAGGAGGAGAGGCAGGAUUUUUUUGAGACUAUGGAGGAUAGCUGGACCUUGGUCUGCCUGGGGGAUCUGGGGCCAUGGCCUUGUAUUCAAAGGAAAGGUGAAAAUGAGGAAGUCUGGGAACCACUGAAGAAGGCAGCCGUGAGGGAAGGCAGUAAUCAUCAGAACGUGCCAGAGAAUGAUAUUGGCAGUACAGGCUCAGGAUGGCGAAGAGGAGGAAGAACAUGUUUGACAUCAGAGUACUCGGGUACUUUGGUCCUUUGGUAAUGACAAUAUUGUUUAGGUUUUGCUUUUGAUAGUGAAGCAGUAUUGAAGCACAUCACCAUCAGAUGUUUGUAGCAAGUGUUUCAUACACAGGACACUCAGGAAACAAAUUAACUUAAAGUAAUAAAGAGGUCACUACUGAAUUGUUUUCUUUUUAUCAGUGUCUUUUUUUGUACCAGAUUAUAGGGAGUUGCCAAUGAGUAUUGAUAAUUAUUGAUCAUUUUUACAGAUAAAAUUAACUAUACCCAUCAGUAAUGAGAAACUUUUCAGUAAAAUUAAAA